UACGUAGGGUGCGAGCGUUGUCCGGAAUUAUUGGGCGUAAAGAGCUCGUAGGCGGUGUGUCACGUCGGCCGUGAAAACCUGCAGCUUAACUGUGGGCGUGCGGUCGAUACGGGCAUCACUGGAGUUCGGCAGGGGAGACUGGAAUUCCUGGUGUAGCGGUGAAAUGCGCAGAUAUCAGGAGGAACACCGGUGGCGAAGGCGGGGCUCCGGGCCGAUACUGACGCUGAGGAGCGAAAGCGUGGGGAGCAAACAGG
rnacentral:rRNA from 1 species